CAGCCGUAAACUAUGCUCGCUAGGUGUCAGGCAUGGCGCGACCGUGUCUGGUGCCGCAGGGAAGCCGUGAAGCGAGCCACCUGGGAAGUACGGCCGCAAGGCUGAACUUAAGGAAUUGGCGGGGGAGCACAACAACGGGUGGAGCCUGCGGUUUAAUGGACUCAACGCCGGACAACUCACCGGGAACGACAGCAAUAUGUAGGCCAGGCUGAAGACCUUGCCUGAAUCGCUGAGAGGAGGUGCAUGGCGUAGACGUCU
rnacentral:rRNA from 1 species